GCCGAGGUGGCGAAAUGGCAGACGCAGAGGACUCAAAAUCCUCCGUGCGCAAGCACAUGGGGGUUCAAGUCCCCCCCUCGGCACCA
rnacentral:tRNA from 1 species